ensembl:snRNA U1 U1 spliceosomal RNA
AUACUUACCUGGAAAGGGAGAUACCAGGAUCAUGAAGGUGAUUUUCCCCGUCGAGGCUUAUCCAUAGCACCCUGGAUGUGCUGUGCUGACCCCUGUGAUUUCCCCAAAUGUGGAAAACUCCACUGAAUAAUUUGUGAUUGUCGGGGAAUGCAUUUGUACUUCCUGC